CGGGCUCAAACGCAGGGGGAAUGACUUUGAAAGGAGGAAGCCCUUCGGGGCCCCCUGCGAGGUGCUGCAUGGUUGUCGUCAGCUCGUGCCGUGAGGUGUCGGCUUAAGUGCCAUAACGAGCGCAACCCCCGCCGCCAGUUGCCACCGAGUCAUGUCGGGCACUCUGGCGGGACUGCCGGCGCAAGCUGCGAGGAAGGCGGGGACGACGUCAAAUCAGCACGGCCCUUACGUCCGGGGCGACACACGUGUUACAAUGGCCGGGACAGAGGGAAGCCACCUGGCGACAGGGAGCUGAGCCCCAAACCCGGCCCCAGUUCGGAUCGGAGUCUGCAACCCGACUCCGUGAAGCUGGAUUCGCUAGUAAUCGCGCAUCAGCCACGGCGCGGUGAAUACGUUCCCGGGCC
rnacentral:rRNA from 1 species